CGGCAGCGCGGCGGGGCCCCGGCACGGCCUUGCUCUGUUCGGACUGGCCCUGCCCUGCCGUACUCGGGCUGGACCGCGCGCUCGCGGCGGUGCCAGGGCUGUUCCGCCCUACGGCCGCCGCCUCUUGUCGCCCGGCCUGGCGCGGCCUUCCCUGGGGCUGAGGCGGGCUGGCCCUGCCGGGCCCUACGGCCUGGCCCGGGGGCUCCGCGUUGCCCUCGUGGCCCGUGCUGCCGUUCACGGCGCUGCCAGUCGAGCGCGGGUGACGGCCUGGGUAACGGGGAGCGGGCCCCGGGGCCCGGCCUGCAGGCGACCGGGCCGGGGCAGGGUCCGGGGCGGCGUCUCUUUGAGGAGCGGGGAGGGGGAAUUAGAGCAACACAAAGUGCCCUGAGAAAGGCCAAAUACACGGGUCCUAAAUGCUCCUUUACUUUUUGGAGGUGUGAGAUUACUUUUUGGAGGUGUGAGACUGUUUAUCUUUGUGCCACCCUCCCCUUUUUUCUGAGUUUUGCGCUUUUUUUUUUUUUUAAUUUUAUUCUUAAGUAGCCUGCACCUGCUGUUUGUAUGCUGUCUGAAUGGUUUGGGGCUUUGGGCCUUUCCGCUAAAGUAGAUAGCUUUCUUUACCAGGUGUCUGCACUGAGGUGCAGAAGCUGAGGCUACAGAGUGAAGCUAAACAAGGACUGGAAAAAGCUAGAAGAAAGACCCUUCAGAGGAGCCUGAGAAAGUGUGAGCAGCAGGAGUCUGUGACUGAUGAGCAGCCCCAUCAGUAGUAGGAUGCUGCACCUUCCAUCCUCGCUUGAUGCUAGGCCUAGAAGGAAAAGAAUGGAGAGAAUGUGACAACAAGAAUCUUGUAUAAAGCAGCAUACCUUAGAAGGCUCUUCAGACUGCUGUGAAAACCUUCUUGAUAAUGUAAAGUAUUUCUGGUUCAGAGAAGGUCAAACAACAGGCUUGAUGAGCACAGCAGGAGUUGAGCAAGACAUAUCACAGUGUGGUAUUUUAGUAGUCCAUGAUGUUUUUCCAGUACACAAAUCUUUGUAGUUGGAAGCAGUAAAGCUGUGUGAUCCCUUAGGGCUCACACACUGGACUGGAACACAGGGCAUGAGCUUGGGUACUGACUCUGUGCAUAGUCUUGUUUGGA